UGGUUCCCGCAUNGAUGAAGAACGCAGCGAAACGCGAUAGUUAAUGUGAAUUGCAGAAUUCAGUGAAUCAUCGAGUCUUUGAACGCACAUUGCGCCUUUUGGUAUUCCGAGAGGCACGCCUGUCUGAGCGUCAGCAAAACCCUUCGGCAGUAAUUUAUUGCCGGCGAUGGCGGGGGAGUUCUCCUCGGAGGCCCUCCGCUUAAACCCAAUGGCGAGGCGAACGGAUUUGCCAGCAAUAGUAGAAAUAUCUUUGCCGUAAAAAUCCCGCCGCACCUGCCUAAAGCCACCAAAUUUUUGACCUCAGAUCAGACGAGGAUACCCGCUGA
rnacentral:misc_RNA from 1 species